UACGAAGGGGACUAGCGUUGUUCGGAAUUACUGGGCGUAAAGCGCGCGUAGGCGGAUCGCUAAGUCAGGGGUGAAAUCCCAGGGCUCAACCCUGGAACUGCCUUUGAUACUGACGAUCUGGAGAUCGGGAGAGGUUGGUGGAAUUCCGAGUGUAGAGGUGAAAUGCGCAGAUAUCAGGAGGAACACCGAUUGCGAAGGCAGCUCGCUGGGACGUAACUGACGCUGAGACGCGAAAGCGUGGGGAGCAAACAGG
rnacentral:rRNA from 1 species